GUUAUCCGGAAUUAUUGGGCGUAAAGCGCGCGUAGGCGGUUUUUUAAGUCUGAUGUGAAAGCCCACGGCUCAACCGUGGAGGGUCAUUGGAAACUGGAAAACUUGAGUGCAGAAGAGGAAAGUGGAAUUCCAUGUGUAGCGGUGAAAUGCGCAGAGAUAUGGAGGAACACCAGUGGCGAAGGCGACUUUCUGGUCUGUAACUGACGCUGAUGUGCGAAAGCGUGGGGA
rnacentral:rRNA from 1 species